UUCUUUCAAAUUCUGUGAUUUUCUGGAUUUUUCCUAUUUAAUCCUCUCACGCGAUUUUCUGGAUUUUUCCUAUUUAAUAAUCACAAUUUUUUAAAGUAGCAUAUUUUUUUAAGGCUAGCUGAAGGGUUACUGGGUUCAUGCCUUUUUGGUGUCUUGUAUAUCAAACGCCUUGAUAAACCCCGCAGCAUCGAAAACCCCUUCACCCAAUUCGGCUCAAUCUCUCUCAAACUUCAAAGAUGCAAUCGCAGGCCUACAGCAAAGCGUCCGAGACAGAGAGAUAGAGGAGAUGAUUGUAUAUUGGGUCGCAACAUUGAUUUGGAUAUACUGAUGAUCUUGGGUAGUUUUUUUUUUUUUUUUAAUUUUUUCCUCUCUUUUUGUUUCUCAGGCUUUAUUUAAGCGUUUGUUUUCAAGCGCUCUCCUGAUUCUCACAAUCAUACCACACAUCUUGUAUUCUCCUCCAGUUGUUCUUGGCGUACAGUGGAGCAUUGUAGUGUACUGUUGCGAAACACCUUGACAUCUUGUAUGGAUUUUUCCUGUUAUCAGUCUUUUGGGUUAGGUGUUUAUUAAUUUAGUGAUUUUUACUAUUUAGAAAUUUACUUAUAUGAGGCAUCAAUGUGAUUUUCUGCAUUUGAGUUAGAUAUUGUAAAAAAAAUCUGAAAGCUUACAAAAUUUUGUCAAUGCUUUUUUUUAUUGUGAUUCAGUGUGCUGGCGGUUCAUAUGGAGCUGGCAAUGCUAUGCAAGAUGAAAAUUAAGGAUCAUCAUAAGCAUGUCCUGGAAUAUCGAAAAUCUGUACUCCAAAAAAGAAGAGGCGAUGGCUUGCAUUAAUCAGGUUUUAUUCUUGCAAUUUUUUUUUGGCCUCCCACUUCCUUCAUGUAUAUUUCACUGUUAUUGUAAAAAGGGUCAUAUGUUCUGGUCCAUUUCUGCAAGUGUCAUAGAGACAAGUCUAUAAUGUAGUUAUUUGCAAACUUCUGGCCUCCUGAACUCGAAAUUGAAAUUUUAUUUGGCCUAUGGUUUUUUGAGGAGAUGGCAGAUGGGAAUGGCCUCAAGCUCUGCUGUUCAUGAUUCCUCAAUUGCAGGGCAUUGAGCCUCAGUUCUCUUAAUUACUACCGUUUGAGCAUGAAUUCUGCUAACUGUGUGUAUUAAGUGUUUUCGCUCCUCAGGAUCUCUUGUCUAUUUUCUCUGAAAUUCUUGAAAUUUUGGAAUUCCUGGCAAAAAUCGAAAGGUCUCCUAUUAAUUAUUAAUUUUGCUACUUCAGUUAAGUAAUUUGUAAAGGCUGAAACUGAGAGUUUUUAACUUCAAGUUCACAUCUCAAAACUAACAUCAACAAAAGUUGCUCGUCAUGGCAGCCAGAUCUUUUUCGAAUACAAACAACAAUUAUCAUCCUAAAAGCUGUGAUUUCGCUUCCGAUAUUUCUCCUGCAAUGAUUACUUUGAUCAAGUAAUUUCAACGGCGUUCACUGGUUUCCACUCCUCCGAUCCUGUCAGUGCCAUUCUUACGAGAUGUGGUAAUGUAGCCGCCAUUCUUCAGCUCGAUGAGAAUCUUAAUAAGAAAUUACGUGUUUUUGAAGCAGCACCACAGGAAUCAAGAGGAGCUCCUGCCAGAAAAGCCACCACCUGAUUAUUUUAUAUGAGAAUAAUUUGUUGAAGUGAUGCCAAUUCUCGGCUUAAUGACUCUACAUCCAAAUAUGACAGUGAUACUUGAGGAUUUAAGGAGGGUCUUCACACGGAUGACAUGGAGCCUCUCAACUCUCUUAUUUUAUUUUUCCUGAAUUCUCAGGAGCUCUCAUCUAUUUUCUCUCAAAUUCUAGAAUCUCUGUACUCCUAUUUGUUAAUUUUGAGAUUUCCGCUACAGAAAUCGAAAGGUCUCACUAUUUCACUAUUGAGAUUGCUGCUUUGGUUACAUAUUAGCUUCUAACUUCGGGUUCUUGAGGCAAAGAUGCAAUCGCAGACCUGCAGCAAAGCGCCCGAGACAGAGAGAGAGAGAGGAGAUGAUUGUAUGUUGGGUCGCCACAUUGAUUUGGAUAUACUGAUAAUCUCGGGUGUGGAUAUGGUUUUUGUUACAAUUGUGCACCUCCUUUGAUAAGCCACCGAUGUCCUCAAUGUAACUAGGCAAUGAACACAGGGAGCCAAGUCGUAGGUACGUCUGAUGAGCUAAUGACUUUAGUACCAACUAUUUAGAAAUUUACUUUCACUUAUAUGAAGCAUCAAUGUGAGCCUCUGCAUCUGAGUUAGAUUUUAUGCAAUGUAUGAUCUGUUGCGGGUGUUCAAUGUAUUCUAAUAUCUAUGUAAGUAGAUAAAGUGAAAGUUGUGUCGAGAUCUAUACCGUUUCCUUAUAUAUUAAAUAUUGAUAUGUUGAGUUGGAUAUAGUCUUCUUAAUUUCAUCUUUUUUGAUCCGAGUUUUUGAUAACCGAUAUAAAUGAUGACUGUAACGCGAAGGCAGAUAGAGAAAUUGAUGAUGGGAAAAAACAGAGGUUAACCUUACGCAUUGCUUAAACUUUUUGUUAGAGCGUGAUGCUUGAGUUAUGCAUCAGUGGCAAUGAUUCCAUCUGCAGAGGAGAUCGAAGAGUUCUUCUCUCUAGCAAAAAGGCAGGAGCAGAAAUGAUUUGCAGAGAAGUAAGAUUUGAUAUUUCACUUGUGCAUGAAUAAUCCUAAAGUCUAGCCAAUGUCACAAAUUUAAGAUACUAAUGACUCUGUUGGAUGUCGGUUUGAUUUUAUUUUUGUUUUAUCAUGUAUAAUUUUGACAUUGUGAAGGAUGUGCAACUCGAAGGAAGGUACCUCUGGGUUUGUUUAAAGCCAUGAUAAAGUACUACUAGCAUUUCUGAGUAAUAAAUUUCUACAGUAAGUGUUUGAACAAUACCGACAAAUCCCUCAUUUCUCAGUCGAUUAAGUAGCGCAGAAGUAGGAACUUCAUUGCAGUAACAAUUUUUGUGUGAACUGAAUUGAGGUUAUUAUUUGCCGGUACAUUCUGCAUAUGCAAAUGGCUCGAAGAGUUGCACGUGACGUUCAUCUGUGUCGUCUACUUUUCUGUUUUCGCUCUUUCUGGCUUGCACUGGUUGCAAAGAUUUUGGUGUCUCUUUUAAUGAGAAAGUUCACUUUGUUUUAUCACGUUUGGUUGCAUUUUUCUUCAUAAAUUUGUCAGGCUGUUUGCUUUUUGUGGCUCUUACUUUCUUAUAUAAUCAUAUAUGUUGUUUGAGUAUGUGCAGGGGGGUCUCGUGUUUAGUAUAGAACAAUAUUAGCCUAAAGCUUGACGUGUUAUUAAGAUUUAGUUCCGAGUAUCAAAAACUCGGCAAUCAAGAAUGUGAUGAGGCAAAUAAAUAUAACCCAGCGAAGAAAGAAAACCAAAGUAUUGAUCAGUUAAUAUUAGGAAUUUUCCGAUUUAUUUUGCUAAACUUUUAGUGUGAAUUACAUGUUUCAGUGGCAUCAAGGCUUUAGAAGAGCAAUAUGGAGUAGAUAGUAUUGCACUUCAGAGGAGUCAACAUUAAACGUGAAGUUUACUUCACAGCAAGCACCACGUCAAUUGCAGGAGAAAAAGAGCGGAUCUGGUUCAUUUUUUAUGGCAGAGGUGCUGCUGGUUAGGGGAAUUCUUGCAUGGCUGACUGGAAUCAUUCUUUUAAUUUCCACUCUCUUGGGGACUUGGCAAGACAAUUCAUUUUGUUCUGUGCGUUGGUAUUCCCUCGAGUCCAUUGCUAUCAAGAGAAUCUAUUUUCAGCACUAUUCUGUAAAUCAUCAUCGUAGUUUUCUAUGUAGCAUAGUUGGACGGGGCUUCUGCAGAUACAUAUAUGGUACACGAAGAUUAUUUUGUUAGUAUUGUAAUGUGAAGUUGUUAACCUGUAAAAGUAGUACCAAAUAAUGUGUUCAAGGUUACUUCUA